AGUGAACGCUGGCGGUAGGCCUAACACAUGCAAGUCGAACGGCAGCACAGUAAGAGCUUGCUCUUACGGGUGGCGAGUGGCGGACGGGUGAGGAAUACAUCGGAAUCUUCUUUUUCGUGGGUGAUAACGUAGGGCAACUUACGCUAAUACCGCAUACGACCUACGGGUGAAAGCAGGGGAUCUUCGGACCUUUCGCGAUUGAAUGAGCCGAUGUCGGAUUAGCUAGUUGGCGGGGUAAAGGCCCACCAAGGCGACGAUCCGUAGCUGGUCUGAGAGGAUGAUCAGCCACACUGGAACUGAGACACGGUCCAGACUCCUACGGGAGGCAGCAGUGGGGAAUAUUGGACAAUGGGCGCAAGCCUGAUCCAGCCAUACCGCGUGGGUGAAGAAGGCCUUCGGGUUGUAAAGCCCUUUUGUUGGGAAAGAAAAGCAGCAGGUUAAUACCCCGCUGUUCUGACGGUACCCAAAGAAUAAGCACCGGCUAACUUCGUG
rnacentral:rRNA from 1 species